UCGCCAGGGAACUACGAGCAAAGCUUAAAACCCAAAGGACUUGACGGUACCCCAUAUCCACCUAGAGGAGCCUGUCCUAUAAUCGAUAAUCCCCGCUAAACCUCACCAUUUCUAGCUAGUCAGCCUGUAUACCUCCGUCGUCAGCUUACCACGUGAGCGUCACCCAGUGAGCCUAAUGUUCUUACACCAACACGUCAGGUCAAGGUGCAGUAAAUGAAAUGGGAAGAGAUGGGCUACACUUUCUAAUCUAGAACACACGAAAGACUAUUUAUGAAACCUAGUCGGAAGGCGGAUUUAGAAGUAAAAAAAGAUCAUAAAACUCUUUUUAACCCGGCACUGGGGUGUGU
rnacentral:rRNA from 1 species